rnacentral:misc_RNA from 1 species
AAAUAACAACCCCUUGAGUUGCCAACAACGCCAAACGGUAGUUUCGACAUGUGACAUGUGCGCAGCUACAGUGUACUGUAGCGCAGCUGUGGUAGCUUGCGCGUGCUCUUCACGGAAAAAUGGCAGCCUCCCGUCGUGAAGUGUUGAGGCUUUACAAGGAGUUGAUGCGCGAGUCUGGGCAGUUCAAGAGUUACAUUUAUAGGUCUUAUGCAUUGAGACGUGUGAGAGAUGCCUUCAAGGAGCAUAAAGCUGUUCAAGAUAUAGAUGAAAUCAAUGAGCUUCUAGAUGAUGGACUGAAAAACUUGGAAAUCAUCAAGCGGCAGGUGGUCAUUGGCAAGCUCUACAGGGCUUCUGACUUGGUCAUUGAAAAGCAGUUUGCACAGCAGCGAUGACUCUGUAAAGCCACCCUUUGCUGUAGCUUUUUGUAAAUUGUGUACUGUUCCUGCAUCCUGACCACAACCCAUCCUGGCUUUUUCAAGCGCUGGGUGUCAGUGUGAUCUGGACAGGGCCUUGAGGUUGCUGCUUCCCUGCAUAAAAAAUAAUUGGGCACUCUUUAGAGAUGGCAUGUCUAUAGACAGAAU